AUGUAAACAAAACGAAUAUUUUGAAUAUGAGUCGACUAUUAUCAAAGCCGGCAAUGUGACUUUUGGACAAUUAUUGGUAAAUCAGAAAAACGAAUUAUUGACAUUGUAUUCCAUUGGCAGUCACAAAACUCUUCUGAACGACAUCUUAGAUAAAUAACAGAUUGCCACCUUUGGUAAUAGACGACUCAUAUAAGCAACAGUCACGGCUUCGGGUCGGCUUAUCGGCUUUCACGGGAAUACAAAAACGAUGUAUCAAUAUUGAAUUUGCAAUGAUCAGCUUUUCGUGAUGUUGUAAUUGUAAGGUGUAUGUAACCACUAAUUAUAUUAAAAUAUUUGCUGUCAA